CUAGAUGUCGCUACUGUCGCCCUUGUUGUUCUUGUUCAUGCGUCGUGAAAAGAGGCGAAAUGAGCGAAACUAAUUGUUGCUAAUUUAUGCUUAUAUUCAUGUGAUUCAUAUACUAAAUUGAGCUUCGUAUCUUAUAUGCAUUAUUGUCAGUCCAUGCUGGCAGUCAAGUUUACUUAAGCGCUCAGUCACUUUCCAUUCAUUACAUCCUUAUGCUGUCAAAAGCC